rnacentral:sRNA from 1 species
UCCAUUUACGAAUACCCGGUCAAGGGGGGUU